rnacentral:rRNA from 1 species
AUUGAACGCUGGCGGAAUGCUUUACACAUGCAAGUCGAACGGCAGCACGGACUUCGGUCUGGUGGCGAGUGGCGAACGGGUGAGUAAUACAUCGGAACGUGCCCAGUCGUGGGGGAUAACGUAGCGAAAGUUACGCUAAUACCGCAUACGAUCUAAGGAUGAAAGCGGGGGACCGUAAGGCCUCGCGCGAUUGGAGCGGCCGAUGUCAGAUUAGGUAGUUGGUGAGGUAAAGGCUCACCAAGCCAACGAUCUGUAGCUGGUCUGAGAGGACGACCAGCCACACUGGAACUGAGACACGGUCCAGACUCCUACGGGAGGCAGCAGUGGGGAAUUUUGGACAAUGGACGCAAGUCUGAUCCAGCCAUUCCGCGUGCAGGAUGAAGGCCCUCGGGUUGUAAACUGCUUUUGUACAGAACGAAAAGCUCUGAGUUAAUACCUCGGGGUCAUGACGGUACUGUAAGAAUAAGCACCGGCUAACUACGUG